GGCCAGUGCAGGAACCCAGGGCAAAGUGGGCAGAGAGCAGGCGAGGCCCUCCUGGACGUGAGGUGGAGAUGCAGGAGAAGGGAGCUGGCUGCCUAGGCUCUGCCUGGGCCUGUGAGAAGUGGCAAAGCAGCACCUCUGGCUCCCUGGGCUGUGCUCCUUUAUUGGGGGAUCUGGUCUCGUUGGUCCUGCCUCUGUUGCCUUCUGACCACAGCACCCAUUUAUCCCUGGACAUCAGUGUCCUUUGUAUCCUCUGCUCCUGUGGCUGGGCUGGAGAUGACCUCACCCACAGGUUCCCAGGAUUGGUGUGUCCAAGAUCUGGCCAAGCAGAUAGUCUCAUUGCCUGUGGUCACAGUUGGGCCACUAUGGAGUGCCAGGAGAUUCAACUGUGCAACUUCUACAUUCAUUUGGGAUGUUGUUUUCUUUUGGUUGUAUUUGCUGCAUGGAAAGAAGGUAAGAGUGGGGCCAGCUGCUGGUAAUAUUGAUGAAGACCUCAAAAUGAAGCCAGCACAGAGGACAGAGAAGCUGAGAGAGGAGAGGAACAUCAUCCAGUGACACUGCAUGAUUCCUGGAUCCAACUAUGCCUGACGCCCACAUGGAUGUCUCAGUUACACCAUGCUAAAACAUUUUGUUUUUCAUUUUGGCUUUGAUAUGGUUUGCUUAAGGUAGGUUCUUUUGGCAUUUUCAACUAAAGGACUCAGGACUAAAAGACUAAAUUUGGUGCACCUUCCAAGAACAUUUCUAUCAGGCAAGGAGGGGGAAAGCUGUUCCCAGUGCCUCAAACACAACCUCACUGUUUCCAGUGGAAACAAAACUCCAUUGGCAGUGCUGAUCCCAGUUUACAGGGCUUGAGACUUCUGGGGGUUUGUUUCUUUGUUACACUGUGAGGUUUUUUGUUUUUGCUAUUUUGUUUGUUUGUUCUUGAAAUCAUCCCUAAGCAGCAACUUCACGAUAAAACCAGAAGCUGUUAGCUUUGUGUAUGGGUGUGUGUGCAUGUGUGCAUGUCUCGAAGUGGGUAAAGCGUCCUUAAAGUCCCUUUAUUUUGUGAAUGCAAGAAUCCCUGGUGCCUCAAACAUUUGCUAGUGAUUCUCCAUGUGCCCAAGUGGGUGGGGUAACAUCCAUAUUUCCACAGCGUCUGGGACGGUGAGGGAGCAGCAGGAAACAAACCACAGUGAAGCCACAGCGACCAGCUGAGCAAGAAAGAUGCAAGAAAGGUGCAGAACUGGAC
rnacentral:lncRNA from 1 species